GUUCCAGGAGCACGGUGGUUGUGCGUCGGAUUGCAAUUCUAACACAGAAUAACCAUCCGCAGGUCGCCUGUUCAAUCCAGGCCUGGAACU